rnacentral:rRNA from 1 species
UACGUAGGGGACCAAGCGUUGUUCGGAAUUACUGGGCGUAAAGGGCUCGUAGGCGGCCAACUAAGUCAGACGUGAAAUCCCUCGGCUUAACCGGGGAACUGCAUCUGAUACUGGAUGGCUUGAGAUUGGGAGAGGGAUGCGGAAUUCCAGGUGUAGCGGUGAAAUGCGUAGAUAUCUGGAGGAACACCGGUGGCGAAGGCGGCAUCCUGGACCAACACUGACACUGAGGAGCAGAAACGCC